CGCGUAGGCGGUUCGUUAAGUUGCUGGUGAAAUCCCGGGGCUCAACUCCGGGGCUGCCGGCAAGACUGGCGGGCUAGAGCACGGUAGAGGCGGAUGGAGUUCCCGGUGUAGCGGUGGAAUGCGUAGAUAUCGGGAAGAAUACCGGUGGCGAAGGCGUUCCGCUGGGCCGUUGCUGACGCUGAGGCGCGACAGCGUGGGGAGCAAACA
rnacentral:rRNA from 1 species